rnacentral:rRNA from 1 species
GGCGGAGGGGGCUAGCGUUGUUCGGAAUUACUGGGCGUAAAGAGCGCGUAGGCGGAUUAGUAAGUUGGAAGUGAAAGCCCGGGGCUUAACCUCGGAAUAGCUUUCAAAACUACUAGUCUUGAGUGUAGUAGGGGAUGAUGGAAUUCCUAGUGUAGAGGUGAAAUUCUUAGAUAUUAGGAGGAACACCGGUGGCGAAGGCGGUCAUCUGGGCUACAACUGACGCUGAGGCGCGAAAGCGUGGGGAGCAAACAGG